rnacentral:rRNA from 1 species
AUUGAACGCUGGCGGCAUGCCUUACACAUGCAAGUCGAACGGCAGCACGGGAGAAAUCCUGGUGGCGAGUGGCGAACGGGUGAGUAACAUAUCGGAACGUGCCCAUCAGUGGGGGAUAGCCCGGCGAAAGCCGGAUUAAUACCGCAUACGACCUACGGGUGAAAGCAGGGGAUCGCAAGACCUUGCGCUAUUGGAGCGGCCGAUAUCAGAUUAGCUUGNGGUGGGGUAAGAGCCUACCAAGGCGACGAUCUGUAGCUGGUCUGAGAGGACGACCAGCCACACUGGGACUGAGACACGGCCCAGACUCCUACGGGAGGCAGCAGNGGGGAAUUUUUCGCAAUGGGCGCAAGCCUGACGAAGCAACGCCGCGUGUAGGAUGAAGGCCCUAGCGGUCGUAAACUACUGUCUAGCGGGACGAAAGUAUUCGGAGUGAAUAAUUACCGGAUAUUGACUGUACCGCUGGAGGAAGCUCCGGCUAACUCCGUGCCAGC